rnacentral:rRNA from 1 species
AGGGGUGAAACCCCUGCCCCGAGGGGAUCCAUUUACCAAGGUGGACCCCCCCCGGGUUUUUACCCCACCCCGGGGAUUGGUUUCCAAUAACCCCCCUUUUUGGUUGGUCCCCGGACCUCCUGGUUUGCCCCUCCCCGGGGGCGGACCCCCCUGGCCCUUCCGGGCCGGGGGCUCCCCGGGGUGGGACCACUUUCCAAACCUCCUUGGCGGUAACCUUUUGCAGUCCUGGAGUAAACCUUAAUUUAAUAAAUUAAAACUUUUAACCAACCGGGAUCUCUUUGGUUCCUGGCAUCGGAUGAAGAACCGCAGCGAAAUGCGAUAAGUAAUGUGAAUUGCAGAAUUCCAGUGAAUCCAUCGAAUCCUUUGAACGCACAUUGCGCCCCCCUGGUAUUCCCGGGGGGCAUGCCUGUUCGAGCGUCCAUUUCACCACUCCAAGCCUCGCUUGGUAUUGGGCAACGCGGUCCGCCGCGUGCCUCAAAUCGACCGGCUGGGUCUUCUGUCCCCUAAGCGUUGUGGAAACUAUUCGCUAAAGGGUGCUCGGGAGG